rnacentral:snRNA from 1 species
GGAAUUGUUUGUGGAUUG